rnacentral:rRNA from 1 species
UACGUAGGCAGCGAGCGUUGUUCGGAGUUACUGGGCGUAAAGCGUGCGUAGGCGGUAGUGCAAGUCUGUUGUGAAAUCUCCCGGCUCAACCGGGAGGGUGCGGCGGAAACUGUGCUGCUGGAGUACGGGAGAGGCAGGCGGAAUUCCUGGUGUAGCGGUGAAAUGCGUAGAUAUCAGGAGGAACACCCGUGGUGUAGACGGCCUGCUGGACCAUGACUGACGCUGAGGCACGAAAGCGUGGGGAGCAAACAGG